GAUGAACGCUGGCGGCGUGCCUAAUACAUGCAAGUCGAGCGAACAGAUGAGGAGCUUGCUCCUCUGACGUUAGCGGCGGACGGGUGAGUAACACGUGGAUAACCUACCUAUAAGACUGGGAUAACUUCGGGAAACCGGAGCUAAUACCGGAUAAUAUAUUGAACCGCAUGGUUCAAUAGUGAAAGACGGUUUUGCGGUCACUUAUAUAUGGAUCCGCGCCGCAUUAGCUAGUUGGUAAGGUACCGGCUUACCAAGGCAACGAUGCGUAGCCGACCUGAGAGGGUGAUCGGCCACACUGGAACUGAGACACGGUCCAGACUCCUACGGGAGGCAGCAGUAGGGAAUCUUCCGCAAUGGGCGAAAGCCUGACGGAGCAACGCCGCGUGAGUGAUGAAGGUCUUCGGAUCGUAAAACUCUGUUAUUAGGGAAGAACAAAUGUGUAAGUAACUAUGCACGUCUUGACGGUACCUAAUCAGAAAGCCACGGCUAACUACGUG
rnacentral:rRNA from 1 species